rnacentral:rRNA from 1 species
CCUACGGGUGGCAGCAGUGGGGAAUAUUGGACAAUGGGGGAAACCCUGAUCCAGCAAUGCCGCGUGUGUGAAGAAGGCCUGCGGGUUGUAAAGCACUUUCGGUUGGGAAGAAAAGUUUGGCGCCAAUACCGCCGAACCUUGACGUUACUGACAGAAGAAGCACCGGCUAACUCUGUGCCAGCAGCCGCGGUAAUACAGAGGGAACAAGCGGGCAUCGAGAUCGCGGGGCGUAAAAUGUGCGUCGGUGGUGAAAUCCCCGGGCUUAACCUGGGAACUGCAUUCGAUACUACAUGGCUAGAGUAUGGUAGAGGGAAGUGGAAUUUCCGGUGUAGCGGUGAAAUGCGUAGAUAUCGGAAGGAACACCAAUGGCGAAGGCAGCUUCCUGGACUAAUACUGACACUGAGGCACGAAAGCGUGGGUAGCAAACAGGAUUAGAUACCCUAGUAGUC